AAAGCCAUGAAGUCACCCCAAGUUCAAACCCAAAAUGCAAUUUGCAGUGGUUAGAAAUGACAAAGGAUGGGUGGUAGGAUCCAGAGAAAAAACAGUGAAACCCGAUGGACCUUAAAUAGAUCUGAGGGCACUGAUUUGAUUAUUUUGGGUGAAAUCUUUUAAGAAAAUCUUGUCAGAUUCUUCACAGAAAAUUUGGUAAAGCCUAUAUUUCAUCGCCAGCCUAGCAAAGUUCACCUUGUGCCCAACCUUCUGUCUCCCUGAGUCAGACCUGCAGACGAUUGCAUGCCACCAGCUGUCUUCACUCCUGAGAACAUGACACAAAGGAAUGCUCCCUGUCAAGUUCUUCAUUAUCCUUCUGAUGAAUUUCCCCUGGUUUAAACAAGUUGGUGGUAGACAGACCUUUCUCGCAUUUUCACAGACGUGCCAGGAGGAAACCCAGCGUCUCUCAGUUUCCUUUAAAUAUAUGAGAUACCAUGAAAGGAUUUGAGCGUUUUUUUAUGUGAAUCCAAAGAUGACAUUUACAAAAGGUGGAGAAGCAGUUCCCUACUGAGGGACGUGGAUACAAAAAGCAGAUGACACAACACAUCCCAUAGAGUUCCCAGGGAAGAAUGAACCCAGAUUCUUGACCUGCAGAGGUUAUCGCAGUCGACUUCAGGCUGGAACGGGCAUUGCUCUUGCACUGAAGAAAGUCUGUCCUGACUCCCUCAGAGUGCCUCAACAUCAACCAAGAGCCACCGUGAACCUCUGGGGCACUGAGCCUGGCCACCAGCACCCCCACCCCAGCCCAUAUGGCCUGGGCCUCUCCCUUGAUGUUUAAAGGAGAUGAUAAAAAUGCUGCAACCCAGAUAAUGAUCACCUUACUCUUCAAAAAUACUGCCCAAGUUCUUUGUUCAAGAUGCCAAGAACCUGGAUACCCUCCACUGGUAACAAAUAUGACUUUGUUUUUAGCAAGCAACUUUGCAGUGUAAUUAAGUUAAGGAUCUUGAGAUGAGAUCAUCUUGGAAUAUCUGGGUGGGCCCUAAAUCCAAUGACAAGUGUCCUCAUAGGAAGGGAAGAUACACACAGAGGAGAAGGUGGUGUGAAGAUGGAAGCCAAGACUGUUGAUACCAGUUGGAGAGCACCAAGAACUACCCGCAGCCACUGAAAGCUAGGAGAGAGGCAUAGGACUGUCUCCUUCAGACCCUCCAGAAAGACCAAACCUGCCCGUGCCUUGAUUUCAGACUUUUGGCCUCCCACAUUGUGAGAGAAUAAAAUUUUGUUUUUGAAGCCAUCUAG
rnacentral:lncRNA from 1 species